UCGACUCACGACGGAACACAAUAGUGUUAAAUAACACACUUUAGAUUUUGGCGGGACUCUAAGUACUUGCAGAAAAUAACCAAAUGAAACAAGUAAGCUAUUUAUUUUUAAUUUAUGUUACGGACUGUUUGUCCUCCCUGGGGCCGCGCCGGCUGGCUCAUCGGUACUCAGGUGGAGUUCCAUCCCUGGCCCGCAUACGAAACAGCUGCUUUAAAACAGAAGAAACGCAUCACUAACAAAACAAAAUAGCUAAAACAAAAGGAAAUGUAAAAACAAACUAUUGACGACGGGCCCAGUUGGACCCCGGCGUACCCAUCCUGCCUGAGAUGGCCACAUCGGCGCCAUCUCCCUUGCGUUGGCCACUACAUCAGUGGUUGCUCCUCAUCCGGCGUAGCGCUGUGGAAUUCCCCUCCCCUCCAUGAUGAGAAAACUCACACAACCGUGUUCAUCAUAACAAACAAAAUACCAAAUAACGAAAUAGGAACGGAGCGAAACAACAACGGCCACAACGACGUAAAGGACAACUUUUCAUUGUCAACCUGAACCUACCUAAGAGCUCUUGGUGGUCGGUGAAGGGGCGAUACGGGUGAGGUGAUGGCAAAUAUAUGCAUAUGUAUAAAUUAGUAAAUAUAAAUAUAUGAAUCCCGCCGCAAGUAAAUUUCUAGGUAUGUAUGUAUGAAGGUGUUUUGUCGUCCCUACUCUGUCAUUUUUACAAAAAAUUAAUUUUAAUUUGUUAAUUUGAUAUAAUUUUUUAAAGACUUUAUUUU